GGCAAACCAGGCCUAGCCCUGAUCUCUCACCUCCCGCCUCUGCUGUUGGCUUCCAAGUAACUAAGGUGCCUCGCGUGUCACAGAAGAGUGUGACAUCACCCGCCCCGCCGUGACAGGGCAGCCUGUCGGACCAGCACAGCUUGAGGGAUCUUAGUUCCCUGAUCAGGUACUGAACCCCAGGCCCAAAGCAGUGAAAGCGCCAAGUCCUAACCACUGGGCUGCUAGGAAUUCAGCUGCCAUAUCAGGAGGCCACUCAAGCAGCCCUGCGGAAAGGCCCAGGUGGUGGAAGAACUGGGGCCUUUUGCCAACAACUAGUAAGGAAGUGAAGCAUCCGACCAACAGCCAUAAGAGAACAAGAGUGGCAUCCAAGAAACUCCUAUUGGAACAGAACAAAUGAGGAAGAAUGAGGGCUUGGACUAGAAUGGGCAGCUUGUUGAAGAUGGAGGAAACCAAAGGAAGAUCCACUAAAGCCCUCUCUCCAUGUGAGUACAGAGGGAAGGUCCCAUAAGGGCAUGGCGAGAAGACAGACAUCUACAAGCCAAGAAGAAAAGUCUCUCCAGAAACCUACCCUGAUGGCACUUUGAUCUGGGA